UCGCCUGUUUAUCAAAAACAUGGUUUCUUGAUAAAUUUAUGAGAGAUCUAACCUGCCCGCUGAUGUUUUUGAAGGGCCGCAGUAAUUUGACUGUGCAAAGGUAGCAUAAUCAUUAGUCUUUUAAUUGGGGGCUGGAAUGAAUGGUUGGACGAGGUAAAAGCUGUUUUAUAUUAAUUUAUAUUGAAUUUAGAUUUUAAGUAAAAAGACUUAAAUAUUAUUAAGGGACGAGAAGACCCUAUAGAGUUUAAUAUAUAAAAUUAUUGGUUAAGUUAAUAGUAAAUUUGUAACUUUUAUAAUAUAUAUUUAAUUGGGGUGAUUGGAAGAUAAGUAAAACUCUUUUUUACGUUUAAUAUUAUGCUUAAUAAAUUGAUCCAUUUUUUGUGAUUAUAAGAUUAAAUUACCUUAGGGAUAACAGCAUAAUUUUUCUUGAGAGUUCAUAUUGAGAGAAGAGAUUGUGACCUCGAUGUUGGAUUAAGAUAUAAAUUGGGUGUAGAAGUUCAAUUAUUAGGUCUGUUCGACCUAUAAAAUCUUACAUGAUCUGAGUUCAAACCGGAGA
rnacentral:rRNA from 1 species